rnacentral:rRNA from 1 species
UACGAAGGGGGCUAGCGUUGCUCGGAAUCACUGGGCGUAAAGCGCACGUAGGCGGCUUUCUAAGUCAGGGGUGAAAUCCUGGAGCUCAACUCCAGAACUGCCUUUGAUACUGGAGAGCUAGAGUCCGGAAGAGGUGAGUGGAACUGCGAGUGUAGAGGUGAAAUUCGUAGAUAUUCGCAAGAACACCAGUAGCGAAGGCGGCUCACUGGUCCGGUACUGACGCUGAGGUGCGAAAGCGUGGGGAGCAAACAGG